GCGCCGAUAAACAGGACGCGGGAACGCUCCACACGGACGAAACCUCUCAUGGGGCAUCAGGGGAACUCACCAAAGCACACCUAACUGAAGCCCUAGAAGCAAUGUCAGACAAAUUAGUGAAAACCUGGCAGACAUCUAUUGAACAACUCAGGAAAGAGGUGCUGGAUAUCGGCAACAGAACGGCACACGUUGAAAACAAAGUGAAUAUGCCAGAGCACAC